rnacentral:rRNA from 1 species
UACGUAGGGUCCGAGCGUUAUUCGGAAUUACUGGGCGUAAAGCGUGCGCAGGCGGUUUUGUAAGUCAGAUGUGAAAUCCCCGAGCUUAACCUGGGAACUGCAUUUGGGACUGCAAGGCUGGAGUACGGCAGAGGGAGGUGGAAUUCCACGUGUAGCAGUGAAAUGCGUAGAGAUGUGGAGGAACACCGAUGGCGAAGGCAGCCUCCUGGGCUAGUACUGACGCUCAUGCACGAAAGCGUGGGGAGCAAACAGG